CCUAUGGGGGGCAGCAGUGGGGAAUAUUGGACAAUGGGGGGAACCCUGAUCCAGCCAUGCCGCGUGUGUGAAGAAGGCCCUCGGGUUGUAAAGCACUUUCAGUGAGGAAGAACGCCUGGUGGUUAAUACCCAUCAGGAAAGACAUCACUCACAGAAGAAGCACCGGCUAACUCCGUGCCAGCAGCCGCGGUAAUACGGAGGGUGCGAGCGUUAAUCGGAAUUACUGGGCGUAAAGCGCGCGUAGGUGGCUUGAUAAGCCGGUUGUGAAAGCCCCGGGCUCAACCUGGGAACGGCAUCCGGAACUGUCAAGCUAGAGUGCAGGAGAGGAAGGUAGAAUUCCCGGUGUAGCGGUGAAAUGCGUAGAGAUCGGGAGGAAUACCAGUGGCGAAGGCGGCCUUCUGGACUGACACUGACACUGAGGUGCGAAAGCGUGGGUAGCAAACAGGAUUAGAUACCCCGGUAGUC
rnacentral:rRNA from 1 species